rnacentral:rRNA from 1 species
UUCUGACCUCGAAUCAGGUGGGACUACCCGCUGAACUUAAGCAUAUCAAUAAGCGGAGGAAAAGAAACUAACAAGGAUUCCCUUAGUAACUGCGAGUGAAGUGGGAUGAGCUCAAAUUUAAAAUCUGGUAGUCUCUGGCUGCCCGAGUUGUAAUCUAGAGAAGUGUUUUCUGU